rnacentral:rRNA from 1 species
UGCCGCGUGAGUGAAGAAGGCCUUCGGGUUGUAAAGCUCUUUCGGCCGGGAAGAAAUCGCACAGGCUAAUACUCUGUGUGGAUGACGGUACCGGCAUAAGAAGCACCGGCUAACUACGUGCCAGCAGCCGCGGUAAUACGUAGGGUGCGAGCGUUAAUCGGAAUUACUGGGCGUAAAGCGUGCGCAGGCGGUUAGAUAAGUUUGAUGUGAAAUCCCCGGGCUCAACCUGGGAACUGCAUUGAAGACUGUCUGACUAGAGUACGGCAGAGGGGGGUGGAAUUCCACGUGUAGCAGUGAAAUGCGUAGAGAUGUGGAGGAACACCGAUGGCGAAGGCAGCCCCCUGGGUCGAUACUGACGCUCAUGCACGAAAGCGUGGGGAGCAAACAGGAUUAGAUACCCUGGUAGUCCACGCCCUAAACGAUGUCAACUAGUUGUUGGUAGGGUUAAACCUAUUAGUAACGUAGCUAACGCGUGAAGUUGACCGCCUGGGGAGUACGGUCGCAAGAUUAAAACUCAAAGGAAUUGACGGGGACCCGCACAAGCGGUGGAUGAUGUGGAUUAAUUCGAUGCAACGCGAAAAACCUUACCUACCCUUGACAUGUCAGGAAUCCCGAAGAGAU